ensembl:miRNA MIR8066 microRNA 8066
CAUCUUGCUUACAUUCCUGUGGAACAUAUUGUUGCCUCUGCAUGUUACAAUGUGAUCUUUUGGAUGUAGGGCAAAUCU